UACGUAGGGUGCGAGCGUUAAUCGGAAUUACUGGGCGUAAAGCGUGCGCAGGCGGCUUUGUAAGACAGGCGUGAAAUCCCCGGGCUUAACCUGGGAACUGCGCUUGUGACUGCAAAGCUAGAGUGUGGCAGAGGGGGGUAGAAUUCCGCGUGUAGCAGUGAAAUGCGUAGAGAUGCGGAGGAAUACCGAUGGCGAAGGCAGCCCCCUGGGCUAACACUGACGCUCAUGCACGAAAGCGUGGGGAGCAAACAGG
rnacentral:rRNA from 1 species